rnacentral:rRNA from 1 species
AACGAACGCUGGCGGCAUGCCUAACACAUGCAAGUCGAACGAUCCCUUCGGGGAUAGUGGCGCACGGGUGCGUAACGCGUGGGAAUCUGCCCUUGGCUUCGGAAUAACAGUUAGAAAUGACUGCUAAUACCGGAUGAUGUCUUCGGACCAAAGAUUUAUCGGCCAGGGAUGGGCCCGCGUAGGAUUAGGUAGUUGGUGAGGUAAAGGCUCACCAAGCCGACGAUCCUUAGCUGGUCUGAGAGGAUGAUCAGCCACACUGGGACUGAGACACGGCCCAGACUCCUACGGGAGGCAGCAGUGGGGAAUAUUGGACAAUGGGCGCACGCCUGAUCCAGCAAGCCGCGUGAGUGAUGAAGGCCUUCGGGUCGUAAAGCUCUUUUACCAGGGAUGAUAAUGACAGUACCUGGAGAAUAAGCUCCGGCUAACUCCGUGCCAGCAGCCGCGGUAAAAC